GCUACGCCGCGUGCGGGAAGAAGCUUAGGGUUGUAAACCGCUUCCAGCAGGAAGAAAAUGACGGUACCUGCAGAAGAAGGUGCGGCCAACUACGUGCCAGCAGCCGCGGUGACACGUAGGCACCAAGCGUUGUCCGGAUUUAUUGGGCGUAAAGAGCUCGUAGGCGGUUCAGUAAGUCGGGUGUGAAAACUCUGGGCUUAACCCAGAGCCGCCACCCGAUACUGCUGUGACUUGAGUCCGGUAGGGGAGCGGGGAAUUCCUGGUGUAGCGGUGAAAUGCGCAGAUAUCAGGAGGAACACCGAUGGCGAAGGCAGGUCUCUGGGCCAUUACUGACACUGAGGAGCGAAAGCGUGGGGAGCGAACAGGAUUAGAUACCCUGGUAGUCCACGCCGUAAACGGUGGGCGCUAGUUGUGGGAACCUUCCACGGUUUCUGCGACGCAGCUAACGCAUUAAGCGCCCCGACUGGGGAGUACGGUCGCAAGACUAAAACUCAAAGAAAUUGACGGGGCCCCGCACAAGCAGCGGAGCAUGCGGCUUAAUUCGACGCAACGCGAAGAAACUUACCAAGGCUUGACAUAUACGGGAAUAUGGCAGAGAUGUCAUAGCCGGCAGGUCCGUAUACAGGUGGUGCCUGGUUGUCGUCAGCUCGU
rnacentral:rRNA from 1 species